rnacentral:rRNA from 1 species
AACGAACGCUGGCGGCAUGCCUAACACAUUCAAGUCGAACGAGACCUUCGGGUCUAGUGGCGCACGGGUGCGUAACGCGUGGGAACCUGCCCUUAGGUUCGGAAUAACUCCCCGAAAGGGGUGCUAAUACCGGAUAAUGUCUUCGGACCAAAGAUUUAUCGCCUUUGGAUGGGCCCGCGUUGGAUUAGCUAGUUGGUAGGGUAAAAGCCUACCAAGGCGACGAUCCAUAGCUGGUCUGAGAGGAUGAUCAGCCACACUGGGACUGAGACACGGCCCAGACUCCUACGGGAGGAAGCAGGGGGGAAAAUGGGAAAAGGGGCGAAAGCCUGAUCCAGAAAUGCCGGGGGAGUGAUGAAGGCCUUAGGGUUUUAAAGCUUUUUUCCCCGGGAUGAUAAUGACAGUACCGGGAGAAAAAGCCCCGGCUAACUCCGU